GGCGCUGUAGCCAAGUGGUUAAGGCGAUUGAUUAGAAAUCACUUCCACUUUGUGGGCGUAGGUUCGAAUCCUGCCGGCGUCG
rnacentral:tRNA from 1 species